rnacentral:sRNA from 1 species
ACUCAACGCGAAUUUUUUUAUAAAGGGUGAGUCAAAUCUGCUAAAGCGUGCCUUUCACAAGGAUACUUGAUCAGUUUGUUAGCCUUAAUCUUGUUUUAUUAAGAGUUU